rnacentral:lncRNA from 9 species
CUGAAGCUCUGCCUCUACAGCUGCAUGAGAGCACAGGAAUAAAUUCAGAGACUGAAAUGUUUGCAUGAGGGCACAGCGUUUGCAGUGCCUCCCAGCUCUACUCCAGUGAUGCCUUGACGAGGCAGUUUGCUGUUACCUUAGAAAAUAAGAAGAGUGUUGACCCAAUUGCAACAUAUGUCAUGGCAACUGAAGACCGGCUCUUUUUAAACUGUCAACAUUGCGUAUCUUCUCUAUCAACGAACUCAAGGAGAUGCAUGAGAUGGAUGCAUCUUCAGUUCGGCCUUGCAUCGCCUUUUGUCUGAUGAGCUCAUUUUUAUUCUGUCACUAUAACUUUCGCUCGAGAAAAAACACUAACAAGUAUCUCCUUCCAGACACUUUGCAGAUCCGUUUAGUCACCAAGGCUCUGCGGCCAUCUGUUAGUCAGCUGCAAGAUUUGUUUAUUCAUACUUUUGCCCAUUCAUCUGUUUUGUGUUUCCUUUUGUCCAUUUCUCAUUCAAGAUAAACAAAAACCUGUCAGUGUGUGACGGAAGCCAAGGCCCGAAUCUGCGUGGACUGAGAAGGAGGGUAUUUGUCAGGAAAGGAGAGCGGAGAGGGUGGAGGAGAGAAAACCCACUUCUUACUCUCCCAUGACAGACGGUCAUUUUCAGUGUCGGAUUGUGCAGUGCUCUGUGUCUGACCUUGGACAUGCCCUUUGGAUCACAAGAAACAUUAGGAGUGUCAGACGGGAACCAUUCUGGUCAGGCAAACAUUUCUGACACUAUUACCACUUCUCAUAGGAUUUAAAGAAUUGCAGAGUCCUUCACAGAGGCUAAAAGGUUUGCUUCUCUUAUUCAGAGAACAAGUUCACAAAACACAUAGAUUUUCUUAUGAAAGAGAUAGGAUUCUCUUAUCAACCCAGAAACACCAAGGAAGAUAUUAGUCAUUCUUUAUGAUCUUUUUCCAAGAAUAAUUUUGAAUCAAUUCCCUCCAAUUAUAUGUCCUUAGUGACAGAAUACCCCAAGCAAAUUGAAUUCAUCAACUUGAAAUGAAUUGUUCCACAUACCUAAAAAGUCUAGAGAUGGGACUGAGUUCAGGAAAGGCUUGAUCAGGACUUAAGUGAAAUUAUUGCUGUGGUUUCUUCUUUCACCCCUGCUGCCCUCUGGAUGGAUCUCAUUCACUUGUGCCUCAUACAUUAACCAGAUGAAGUUGGGAGUUUCAGCGACAGUUUCCAGGUACCCUGCAGAGAGAAAGGAUUACCUCUUUUAGUUCAAGAAGCCUCAGCAAAGAACUGGAUCUCAUUCAUUAAGUUUAACAAUGAUACACUCAUUCUCCAAACAACCACUGAGGCCAAAGGAAGCCGAAACUCUGACUGACUCGGCUGGAAUCACUCACGGCUUCCAGAGCGCCAGCUGAAGGGGGUGGAGGGGUGAGUCUAUCAACUGGAAUCACUAAUAGAUCCCAGAAGAAAAUCUGGAGCCAUUAACCCAAGAAAAUCACACAGAUAACAGAAAGGAUAUAAAUGGUUAACUGUGUAAAGGUGCCUGUAUACUAUGGAAAAUCAGUCAUAGGUUUUUUUAAAGUGGUAACAUUAAAAUCAGAGCAAUACGUAUCCACAGCAAAAGAAACCAUCAACAAAGUGAAAAGACAACCUAUGGAAUGGGAAAAAUAGUUGCAAACCAUAUAUCUGACAAGGGGUUAAUAUCCAAAAUAUACAAAGAACUCAUGGAACAAUGGCAAAAUACAAAAACAAGUAAAAAAAUGGGCAAAGAAACUAGAUUGACGUCUUUUCACAGAAUAUAUAUAAAAGGACAACAGGUACAUGAAAAGAUGUUCAACAUUGCUAAUUAUUAGGGAAAUGCAAAUUAAAAACACAAUGAGAUAUCACCUCACAUCUGUUAGAAUGGCCAGCAUUAAAAAAAAAAAAAAGAUAAAGAGAGAGAGAUUAAAAAAUGCAUGGAUGUGGAGAAAAGGGAAUUAUACUCUGUUGGUGGAAUUAUAAACUGGCAAGGCCACUACGGAAAAGAGCAUGGAGGAUCCUCAAAAAAUUAAAGAUGGAACUACCAUAUGACCAAACAAUUCUGUUCCUGGCACUAUAGCCAAAGGAAAUGAAAACACUAACUCAAAAAGAUAUCUGCACCCCCACAUUCAUAGCAGCAUUUUUUGCACUAGCCAAACCGUGGAAACAACCUAAGGUCCAUCAAUAGAUGAAUGGAUAAAGUUGUGGUAUAUAUAUAUACACACAAUGGAAUAUUAUUUAGCCAUAAAAAGGAGAGAAUCCUACUAUUUGUGACAACAUAGAUGGAACUUGAAGGCAUUAUACUCAAUGAAAUAAGUCAGAGAAGACAAAUACUGUAUGAUCCCACUUCUAUGUGGAAUCUAAACAAAACAAAAACAAAAAACCCAAACGCAUAGAAAAAAGAGAUCAGACAUGUGGGUGCCAGAGGCUCAGGAUGGAGAGAGGAGGGACUGAAGGAAGAUGGUCAAAGGGUAGAAACUUCCAGUCAUAAGACAUAUAAGUACGAGGGAUGUAAUAUGCAAUAUGAUGACUGUAGCUAACACUGCUAUGAUAUAUAGAAAAGCUGUUAAGACAGUAAACCCUAAGAGUUCUCAUCACAAGGAGAAUUUUUUCCAUUUUUCAUUUCUUCUCUUCAUUUCAUCUAUAUGAGAACAUGAAUGUUCACUGAACUUAUUGUGGUCCUUAUUUCACAAAGUACAUAAAUAAAACCAUCACACUCUGCCUUAAACUUACACAAUGAUGUAUGUCACUUAUUCUCGAUAAAACUGGGGCAAUUUUUGUUAAAAAGAGCGAUUUGUGGAGUUCCCAUCGUGGCUCAGUGGUUAAUGAAUCCGACUAGGAACCAUGAGGUUGCAGGUUCGAUCCCUGGCCUAUGCUCAGUGGGUUAAGGAUCUGGCAUUGCCAAGUUGUGGUGUAGAUCACAGACCAGGCUCGGAUCCUGAGUUGCUGUGGCUCUGGCAUAGGCCAGCGGCUACAGUUCCGAUUAGACCCCUAGCCUGGGAACUUCCACAUGCCACAGGUACGGCCCUAGAAAAUACAAG